rnacentral:lncRNA from 1 species
GUUGCUUAUAUAUUAAAGUGACAAAAGGAGAGAUUAUUUUACACGAUGAUUAGAUUUGUUUAGACUGGAGUUUGGCUUAUAUUCUAUGGAUAUUGUCUACUGUUGAAGACCAUAUGUUGACCUGAACGACAUUUCGCAAUUAUCGUGUUGUUAUAGUUCUUAUUUAAGGGUCUAGAUGGAAGAUGGCUUUCAUUUCUGUAUCUUAUUUCUAAGUAUGUGUUGCUUAGACUUAAUUUUUCUAUGAUGUGACAUUUGUACUAUAUUAUUGUCUGUGUGUCUUUGUCUUUUUUAGCCAUGGUGUUGUCCGUUUAUUUUCGAUCUAUGAGUCUCUUUGGUAUUUUUCACCCCUCUUUUCUAAGUAAUUUUCAUCUAUUCUUUUACCAGUAUUCUAUUUUCUGUAUACUUUUGCACCUCAAUUCUUUAUUUGCUUUGUUUGUUUUCACUAUUCUGUAUAUUGAGCCCUUUAUUACGCCAAUUAUUUUGAAUUUCCAUUUCGUAUAACACAUAGCCAUAGGAAUCUCCCGGCUUAUUUGUUGAAGGCGUUCAAGAAAAAACAUCAUCAUGUAAUUAC